rnacentral:rRNA from 1 species
CCCUUAGAUGUUCUGGGCCGCACGCGCGCUACACUGAUGCAUUCAACGAGCCUAUCCUUGACCGACAGGUCCGGGUAAUCUUUGAAUCUGCAUCGUGACGGGGAUAGAUUAUUGCAAUUAUUAAUCUUCAACGAGGAAUGCCUAGUAGGCGCAAGUCAUCAGCUUGCGUCGAUUACGUCCCUGCCCUUUGUACACACCGCCCGUCGCUCCUACCGAUUGGGUGUGCUGGUGAAAUGUUCGGAUCGGCCGUUUGUCGCGGUUUCCGCGUCAUGUGGCUGAGAAGUUCAUUAAACCCUCCCACCUAGAGGAAGGUGAAGUCGUAACA